AGCAAUCUAUUUUGCUGGUGUUGGGGGUUAAUGACUAUUGCCAAAGAUAAGUGAAUUAUCAAAGCUGUUGCUCUAGCCCGGUCUCAAAAUCCAUUACAUUGCCUGGUCGUCUAAUUAAAUACAGAGUGAAGACUGAACCCAGGUGUGCAAGGUCCCAACUCAGACGACAUGUCUGUGUGGCCAGAACAGUCAAAGAUCCAUUAAAAAGCAACAGGGCUUGAAAUGAGAAUGAAGCAGAGUCUCUGCUGGAUUAAGGUAAAGAGUGAAGAUACAUUUUCAGAAUCUGAAGCCCCUAAUUCAUUUGAAGUUGGAAGUAGAAGACACUGUAUUUGACAGAACAUUGUAAGAAAAGUACAUUAAACUAAUUUUUGUUCUUUGUGUUAUAAGCAUUGGAUACACCAAUAUUUUUUGUCAAAGCUUUUAUUUUUCUAAACUACCCAUUUUAUAGCCCUGCCUGAAAAUGUAUGUGCUAAGUCUAUGAAAGAUGCUUGCAUAUACUGUACAAGCCUGAGUAAUUGUACUCAAAUUGAACACUGUAGCUCCACUGAAUAAAAUCCUAUCUACUAAC